GCCUUCGUGGUGUAGUGGUCAGUACACUCGGAGCUUAUAUCCGAGAUGUGCGUGGUUCUAAUCCCAUCGAAGGCA
rnacentral:tRNA from 1 species